rnacentral:rRNA from 1 species
GAUCCUGGCUCAGAUUGAACGCUAGCGGCAGGCCUAACACAUGCAAGUCGAACGGUAACAGGAAGAAGCUUGCUUCUUUGCUGACGAGUGGCGGACGGGUGAGUAAUGUCUGGGAAACUGCCUGAUGGAGGGGGAUAACUACUGGAAACGGUAGCUAAUACCGCAUAACGUCGCAAGACCAAAGAGGGGGGACCUUCGGACCUCUUGCCAUCGGAUGUGCCCAGAUGGGAUUAGCUAGUAGGUGGGGUAACGG